GGCCACACUGGGACUGAGACACGGCCCAGACUCCUACGGGAGGCAGCAGUAGGGAAUCUUCCGCAAUGGACGAAAGUCUGACGGAGCAACGCCGCGUGAGUGAUGAAGGCUUUCGGGUCGUAAAACUCUGUUGUUAGGGAAGAACAAGUACGAGAGUAACUGCCGUCCUUGACGGUACCUAACCAGAAAGCCACGGCUAACUACGUGCCAGCAGCCGCGGUAAUACGUAGGUGGCAAGCGUUAUCCGGAAUUAUUGGGCGUAAAGCGCGCGCAGGCGGUUUCUUAA
rnacentral:rRNA from 1 species